UACGUAGGGUGCAAGCGUUGUCCGGAAUUAUUGGGCGUAAAGAGCUCGUAGGCGGUUUGUCGCGUCUGCUGUGAAAACUCGGGGCUUAACCCCGGGCCUGCAGUGGGUACGGGCAGACUAGAGUGCGGUAGGGGAGACUGGAAUUCCUGGUGUAGCGGUGAAAUGCGCAGAUAUCAGGAGGAACACCGGUGGCGAAGGCAGCCCCCUGGGCUAACACUGACGCUCAUGCACGAAAGCGUGGGGAGCAAACAGG
rnacentral:rRNA from 1 species